UUAUUGCUUUUUUAUUUUAUCUUUCCAGCUGGCAUUUUGUCUUCUUUAUUCUAGAUGUACCUCUGGAAUAAUAUUAUCUUCUCCAUUGCACCUCGAACAUUGGUGGUCUGGAUAUUUAUGUCCAAUUAUUUUACAGUAUCUUGUUAGCAGUCCGUCUGAAAUAAAUCCCUUUUUUAUUGCUCGCGCGGUAGAUUGUUUUUCU
rnacentral:lncRNA from 1 species